rnacentral:misc_RNA from 1 species
UUGUGUAUUGGUUACUGCAUAUUGCUGUAAGAAGCCACUUUUUUCAUGCCUCAUUUAUGGAAAUGCUCAUACUUGAAAUUGGAUUUGGUGAGUGUGUGCGCGAGCAAGCGCGCGGUGUAGGUUAGUGUGUAUGUCGUGAAGCUUUCUAAUGGGUGUAGGUUAUCUUUUCUUUUGAUUGGGUGAUAUGUGAGCAAGCGCGCGGUGUAGGUUAGUGUGUAUGUCGUGAAGCUUUCUAAUGGGUGUAGGUUAUCUUUUCUUUUGAUUGGGUGAUAUGU